AGCUUCUCCUUCGGAAUCAUGCAGAUAGAGUAUGAAUGACGAUGCCCAAAAGAUGGUGAAUUAUGCUUGAGUUGAACGAAGCCAGAGCGAACUCUAAUGGAACUUUGUAGCGGUUUUGACGUGCAAAUAACUGGUCAGAAUUGAGUAUGAGGGCGAAAGACUGAACGAAUCAUCCAGUAGCUGGUUCUCUCCGAAGAUUCCCUCGGGAUGGCUGGAAUCAAAAUGUCUAGUUUUAUGCGGUAAAGAGAAUCAUUAGAAUUAUUUAGGCAUGGUAUGCAGCUUUCACUAAUGAAGUUGUAUGAAUGAAAUGUCGAGAUCUGUGGGCCAGUUUUGGUAAGCAGAACUUGCGAUAUGGGAUGAACGAAGGGUCGAGUUAAGGUGCCUGACAUUGAAUAGAUCCCAUGAAAGGUGUUAGCUGAUAGAGACAGCAGGAUCAUGGUAAUCGAAGUUGGAAUUCACUAAGGAGUGUUCAACAGCUCACCUACCGAUUCAACUAGCCCUGAUAAUGGAUGACUCUGGAACUUGUAGCCUACUAGACCGCUUCGUUUUUGCAGUGUUGCGCGAUCGAUUUCUAACACCAACGAUUUAAGCAGAU
rnacentral:ncRNA from 1 species